GAGACGUUGAGGGUGCUGCUCCCCGGGCACAUUCAUCUCCCAGAGCCGCUUCUUCUGCUCACUUCAGCGGACUUGAUCAAGGCGACAUAGUCCCAAGCGGAAACCACAUCCGAGCUCCACCAAAGCCGCCCAAACAUGGACUGUCAACGGACAUUCGGACUCAGAUUCCAAUGAGCCUGAUGGCGAUGCAUCCUUAUCUGAGAGCAGCAGGGCAUCUUCCCCGAAGCCCCCAGAAAGUCAUGGAAGAGGUCUUCAAUCAACCUACCACGCAUGUUUUUGGGAUGUGGGAGGAAACCGGAGUACCCGUAGCAAACCCACGCAGGCAUGAGGAGAACAUGCAAGCUCCACACAGGCCGGACCAAGAUUUGAACACCGGUCGACA